AUUGAACGCUGGCGGCAGGCCUAACACAUGCAAGUCGAGCGGAGCGGCGGACGGGUGAGUAAUGACUAGGAAUCUGCCUGGUAGUGGGGGAUAACGUCCGGAAACGGGCGCUAAUACCGCAUACUAUCAGAUGAACCUAGGUCGGAUUAGCUAGUUGGUGGGGUAAAGGCCUACCAAGGCGACGAUCCGUAACUGGUCUGAGAGGAUGAACAGUCACACUGGAACUGAGACACGGUCCAGACUCCGACGGGAGGCAGCAGUGGGGAAUAUGGCACAAUGGGCGCAAGCCUGAUGCAGCCAUGCGGCGUGUAUGAAGAAGGACUUCGGGUUGUAAAGUACUUUCAGUCGGGAGGCGUUACCGACAGAAGAAGCACCGGCUAAAUCCGUGCCAGCCGACGCGGUAAUAC
rnacentral:rRNA from 1 species